rnacentral:tRNA from 1 species
UCAGAGGGAAAGAAGCAUCUUUAUCUUUAAUUCCCAAAACUAAUAUUUUUUAAACUACCCCCUG